rnacentral:rRNA from 1 species
GUGGGGAAUAUUGGACAAUGGGCGCAAGCCUGAUCCAGCCAUGCCGCGUGUGUGAAGAAGGCCUUUUGGUUGUAAAGCACUUUAAGCGAGGAGGAGGCUCCUUUAGUUAAUACCUAAAGAGAGUGGACGUUACUCGCAGAAUAAGCACCGGCUAACUCUGUGCCAGCAGCCGCGGUAAUACAGAGGGUGCGAGCGUUAAUCGGAUUUACUGGGCGUAAAGCGUGCGUAGGCGGCUUUUUAAGUCGGAUGUGAAAUCCCUGAGCGUAACUUAGGAAGUGCAUUCGAUAAUGGAAAGCUAGAGUAUGGGAGAGGAUGGUAGAAUUCCAGGUGUGGCGGUGAAAUGCGUAGAGAUCUGGAGGAAUACCGAUGGCGAAGGCAGCCAUCUGGCCUAAUACUGACGCUGAGGUACGAAAGCAUGGGGAGCAAACAGGAUUAGAAACCCCGGUAGUCC